rnacentral:rRNA from 1 species
UACGUAGGGUGCAAGCGUUGUCCGGAAUUAUUGGGCGUAAAGAGCUCGUAGGCGGUUUGUCGCGUCUGCUGUGAAAACUCGGGGCUUAACUCCGGGCCUGCAGUGGGUACGGGCAGACUAGAGUGCGGUAGGGGAGACUGGAAUUCCUGGUGUAGCGGUGAAAUGCGCAGAUAUCAGGAGGAACACCUGAGGUGAAGACGGGUUGCUGGGCCGACACUGACGCUGACAGCGCGAAAGCCAGGGGAGCAAACGGG